AUGUACGGCCAGAUUUGGCGCCUCGUCCCCAACGCCUGCUCGCCGCUGCCGCCGAUCCGCGCCGGGGCGGGAAGGGGCGGCUGGCCGGCCGGUCGCCCCGCGCCACUCCGCAGGCCGGCGCUCGCCUCCGCGGCCACCCGAGGCCUAUGCCGCCCCCUCGCCGUCUCCGCCCAGUCGGCCAGCCUCGACGCCGGUUUGAGAGUGGAUAAGUUUUUCGAAGUUGAGAUCAAGGUGCGCGACUAUGAACUCGACCAGUAUGGAGUUGUCAAUAAUGCUAUCUAUGCUAGCUACUGCCAACAUGGCCGUCAUGAGCUACUUGAGAGCGUAGGAAUAAGCGCAGAUGCAGUAGCUCGCAGCGGUGAGUCGCUGGCCCUCUCUGAGCUGCACCUCAAGUACUUCGCGCCUUUGAGAAGUGGUGAUAAAUUCGUCGUCAAGGUGAGGCUUGCAAGCAUCAAAGGUAUAAGGAUGAUAUUCGAGCACUGCAUUGAGAAGCUGCCUAACCAUGAGCUCGUACUGGAAGCCAAAGGAGCCGUUGUUUGCCUUGACAAAGACUAUCGUCCAACUCACAUAUUCCCAGAUAUGUCGACAAAAAUUCUGCAGUUCUUCUCAUCCAAGGAUGACUAA
rnacentral:rRNA from 1 species